rnacentral:lncRNA from 10 species
UGUGUGUGGUUUGAUAUCAGGGUGAUAAUGGCCUUGUAGAACAAGUUAGGUAGACAUAUCUCCUCGAUUUUUUGGAACAGUUUCAGGAUAAUUGUUAUUAGUUCUUUUUUGUAUGUUUGGUAAAAUUCAGCUGUGAAUUCCUCUGUUCCCGGGCUUUUCCUUGUUAGGAGAUUUUUUGUUACUGAUUCAAUCUUGCUACUCAUUAUUGGUCUGUUCAGGCUUUCUAUUUCUUCUUGGUUCAAUCUUGGAAGGUUGUAUCUCUCCAGAAAUUUAUCCAUUUCCUCUAGGUUUUUUAGUUCGUAAGCAUAUAGUUGUUCAAAAUAGUCUGAUGAUCUUUUGAAUUUCUGUGAUAAUCAGUUUAAUGUGUCCUUUUUCAUUUCUGAUUUUGCUUCCUUGGGUCUUCUCACUUUUUGGUUGUAAGAGCUAGCAUUGUAUCAACUUUGUUUAUCUUUUCAAAGAACCAACUUUUUGUCUUGUUAAUCCUUUUUAUUGUUUUCUUAUUUUUAAUUUCAUUUAGUUCUGCUUCCAUUUUUUUUUCUUCUGCUAAUUUGGGGCUUGGUCUUUUCUUGCUUUUCUAAUUCCCUGAGGUAUGUUGACUUUGUAACCUUUUUUGUUUUUUGAUGUAAAAUAGCAUGGUGUGUCGCGUGCCUCUCCCAGAGCUUGAGUAGUGCUAAAGUAUAAACUAAGUGAUGGGUGAAAAGUCUUUUGGGAGAUAUAGUUUAGAUUCACGUGACUGCUGAACCAUGAAGGCUGUGUGCUAUGAUAUUGAACUUAGACCGUGUCUGGGGGUAGUGGAAAAUCUCUCAGGGAUUUAACAAAUACAGUGAUUUUAAAGUAGAUCUUAGAGCAAUGCUUGAAAUUAUUUCACCUUUCUUAAGGAUAAAACAUAUUAAACAUUUCAGGUAUAUCAACAAUUAUGUUUUAGAAAGUAACUGUAUCUUAGAAUUUUCCACGCAGAAGAGGCUUAGAGAUCAUCUAAAAGUAACUCCUACAAUUUUACAUUUUAUAGUUGCCUGACAUAUUCAGAAAAAAGAAAAUAAAACUAUUUUUAUAUUAU